rnacentral:ncRNA from 1 species
AAACUUGUUUUAUUCGUGAAAUAAAUAGAAAAAGGAGAAUUGAGAAAUCUCUGUAUGGCCAACUUGUGGGAGUGAACCUUCUGCUAAAAACCAUCAAAUUGCGGGAACACCCUAAAGAGAUUUCAACCAAUCGAAUAUGGUAACAUAUUCGUGGCACAGGUAAUGACUCGUGGUAUGGUAAUAUCGAAAUUUAUGUACGAAAGGAAAUGGGUAAUCCGCAGCCAAGCACCUGACCUAUAAGACAGGUGUGCAGUUCAUCGACUAAAUGUUGGUUGGUACGAAUAAAUACUUUAUGUUUUCGUGCUUAAAAUAUAGUCAAACCCUACUCGAAAGAGUACA